CUGAAACAACCCUUCUCUCUUUCUCAGGAAAGGACUGUGCUGGCUGCAGCCUCAUUGGGUGAGGAGGCAACUUUGAAACUACUGUAUGGAGAACUGAGAAGGUGGAAGAUUGCAGAAUAAUGGGUUACACUUGCAUGAACAGCAUUAAAAAAGCCAAGGUUUUUUAACCACAUGGGUAAUGUUUGCCUGGUAUUGAUUGGAACCAAUAAAAAUUUGUAAACUCUA